CGAGAAAGCCCGCAAGGGUGAGUAAAGCGGCGCACGGGUGCGUAACACGUGGGUAAUCUUCCCUGAAAUCUGGGAUAACUCCCCGAAAGGGGUGCUAAUACCGGAUGAGACCACGGGAGCCUCGGCUCCCGCGGGAAAAGGUGGCCUCUGCAUGCAAGCUAUCGUUUCAGGAUGAGCCCGCGGCCCAUCAGCUCGUUGGCGGGGUAACGGCCCACCAAGGCGACGACGGGUAGCUGGUCUGAGAGGACGAUCAGCCACACUGGAACUGAGACACGGUCCAGACUCCUACGGGAGGCAGCAGUGGGGAAUCUUGCGCAAUGGGCGAAAGCCUGACGCAGCAACGCCGCGUGUGUGAUGAAGGUCUUCGGAUCGUAAAGCACUGUCGCGAGGGACG
rnacentral:rRNA from 1 species